AAAGAUGAUUUUAAGAUGAUUUCAAGGAAUACAUUGAAAUGUGAUGUGGUGAAGAUGUUCAACAAUGAGAGAGGUUCUCUUAAGGCUUUGUUAGUUGCUAACGAGGGUAGAGUGGGGAUAACAACUGAUAUGUGGACUGCCUCCAACCAAAAAAAGGGGUAUAUGGCCGUGACAUCCCACUUCAUUGAUGAUAAGUGGAUUUUGCAUAAUCGAACAAUAAGGCACACUUGAUGGAAAGAAUUUGUCAUACACAAUUAAUGAAGAUUGUGAUUAUGAUAAUGAAGCUCAAGAUAUCAUUGACAUGGAUGUUGAUGAUGUUAGUAGUGAUGAAGAAUAGUCCUCCUGAAGUCUUGGACUCUUGGUAGAUGUACCAAGUGAAGAAUGAAAGAUGUAAAAUUGCAAAGUGCAAACUAUGUUUUAAUUGUUUGUAAGAAUUGUAGACUUUGUAAUAUUAUUGAAGUUUGUUAAACUCUUAAUGUUAUUUAUUUUGGAUUUGAAAC